AGUUCGAUCAUGGCUCGAUUAAACGCUGGCGCGAUGCUUGCAGAGCGCAAGUCGAACGGCAGCACGGACUUCGGUCUGGUGGCGAGGCGAACGGGUGAGUAAUGUAUCGGAACGUGCCUAUAGCGGGGGAUAACUACGCGAAAGCGUAGCUACCACCGCAUGCCGCCCUCGGCGGAAAGCGGGGGACCUUCGGGCCUCGCACCAUUAGAGCGGCUGAUAUCGGAUUAGCUAGUUGGUGGGGUAACGGCUCACCAAGGCGACGAUCCGUAGCUGGUUUGAGAGGACGACCAGCCACACUGGGACUGAGACACGGCCCAGACUCCAUGGGAGGCAGCAGUGGGGGAAUUUUGGACAAUGGGGGAAACCUGAUCCAGCCAUCUCGCGUGUGCGAUGAAGGCUCUCGGGUUGUAAAGCACUUUUUGGCAGGAAGAAACGGCACGGGAUAAUACCCCGUGCAACUGACGGUACCCUGCAGAAUAAGCACCGGCUAACUGGCUGCCAGCAGCCGCGGUAAUACGUAGGGUGCAAGCGCGUUAAUCGGAAUCGUCAGCGUAAGCGUGCGCAGGCGGUUCGGAAAGAAAGAUGUGAAAUCCCAGAGCUUAACUUUCUCGAACUGGCUUUAACUUACUGAGCUAGAGGGAGGUGUCGAGGGAGGGAAUUCGCGUGUGGCAGUGAAAUGCGUGGAUAUGGAGGAACACCGAUGGCGAAGGCAGCCUCCUGGGGAUAACACUUAUUUAUGCACGAAAGCGUGGGAGCAAACAGGAUUAGAGAUUUAACCACGCCCUAAACGAUGUUACUGAAUUAGCUGUUGGGGCCCUUCGGGCCUUGGUAAAGGCAGCUAACGCGUGUUUGACCGCCUGGGGAGUACGGUCGUAAGAUUAAAGUCCGGGUUAGCCUGAUUUGGGACUCGCACAAGCGGUGGAUGAUGUGGAUUAAUUGAUGCAACGCGAAAAACCUGUUCUGCCCUGACAUGUCUGGAAUCCCGAAGAGAUUUGGGCGUUCGCGAACCGGAACACAGUGCUGGCAUGGCUGUCGUCAGCUCGUGUCGUGAGAUGUUGGGUUAAGUCCCGCAACGAGCGCAACCUCGUCAUUAGUUGCUACGAAAGGGCACCUCCAUCGACUGCCGCGAGCUCGUAAACCGGCAGGUGGGGAUGACGUCAAGUCCUCAUGGCCCUUAUGGUAGGGUCACGAUCGUCAUACAGUCGUCGGGACAGAGGGUCACAACCCGCGAGGGGGAGCCAAUCCCAGAAACCCUGAUCGUAGUCCGGAUCGCAGUCUGCAACUCGACUGCGCAGUCGGAAUCGCUAGUAAUCGCGGAUCAGCAUGUCGGUGAAUAUUGUUCCCGGUCUUGUACACACCGCCCGUCACACCAUGGGAGUGGGUUUUACCAGAAGUAGUUAGCCUAACCGUAAGGAGGGCGAUUACCACGGUAGGAUUCAUGACUGGGGUGAAGUCGUAACAAGGUAG
rnacentral:rRNA from 1 species